UACGUAGGGGGCAAGCGUUGUCCGGAAUCACUGGGCGUAAAGCGCGCGUAGGCGGCUUUUCAAGUCGAUUGUGAAAUCCCCGGGCUUAACCUGGGAACUGCAGUCGAGACUGUCUAGCUAGAGUAUGGGAGAGGGAAGUGGAAUUUCAGGUGUAGCGGUGAAAUGCGUAGAUAUCUGAAGGAACAUCAGUGGCGAAAGCGACUUCCUGGACCAAUACUGACGCUCAUGUGCGAAAGCGUGGGGAGCAAACAGG
rnacentral:rRNA from 1 species